rnacentral:rRNA from 1 species
CCUACUGGAGGCUGCAGUGGGGAAUAUUGGACAAUGGGGGCAACCCGGAUCCAGCCAUGCCGCGUGUGUGAAGAAGGCCCUCGGGUUGUAAAGCACUUUCAGUGAGGAAGAACGCCUGGUGGUUAAUACCCAUCAGGAAAGACAUCACUCACAGAAGAAGCACCGGCUAACUCCGUGCCAGCAGCCGCGGUAAUACGGAGGGUGCGAGCGUUAAUCGGAAUUACUGGGCGUAAAGCGCGCGUAGGUGGCUUGAUAAGCCGGUUGUGAAAGCCCCGGGCUCAACCUGGGAACGGCAUCCGGAACUGUCAAGCUAGAGUGCAGGAGAGGAAGGUAGAAUUCCCGGUGUAGCGGUGAAAUGCGUAGAGAUCGGGAGGAAUACCAGUGGCGAAGGCGGCCUUCUGGACUGACACUGACACUGAGGUGCGAAAGCGUGGGUAGCAAACAGGAUUAGAUACCCAGGUAGUC